CCAUCAUUUCUUGACAAACUUUCUAUUUUAUAAACAUGUCCUCUCCUCAGACUCUGAGAGUUUUAACAUCUAGUGGUGGGCUUCCAAUAUGGACGAUGCUUCUCUAUCUUUACAUAAGCUAUGUUUUUGCAGAGAACGUCACCAGAGUAGUUGGACGCAUAGGACACUCCAUAUUCCUUCACCCUGAAAUUGAGUUACAUGCCAAGGUCUCUGACGCGAUAUGGAAACAUGCAAACAUGUAUAUAGCUAAAGGGGGCAUUUUAAUGAAUUUAAAGGAUAGGUGUGAGUUAUUUCCAAACGGUUCACUGAAGUUUUUUGAAGGACUGAAAACAGACAGUGGAAAGUAUUCAGUGGAACUAUUUAAUGACGCUGGAGAACAUAUAUCCAAACGGUACAUUGAGCUCAGCAUUCUAGGCAGAGGUACAGUAACUCCUCGUGCAUUUUCUGCAUAKUAUUGGUCCAGAACCACUCUCUGUAAAGUAGACCUUCCCAUUACUUGUCCGGGUAGCACAGUAUGUAUCGAGUCAAGCUUUGAGGGCACGAAUAUCAAUCAGGGGAUAGGGUACAGAACAAAAUACCUUGUAAUAUUCAUGAAUGAG